GUCUACAGCCAUACCACCCUGAAUGUGCCUGAUCCCAGAAGCUAAGUAUGGUUGGGCCUGAUUAGUGCUUGAAUGGGAGACCACCUGGGAAUAUUGGGUGGGGCC
ensembl:rRNA 5S_rRNA 5S ribosomal RNA